CGGACCUGUUUUUUCAGUAAAACAACAAUAAGAAGACAAGCUUUCAUCAGAGGGACAGCAGACCAAAACCAGAUUUACACAACGUCUGUCUGCAAUCUUGAAAUCUUGUGAAGCUGGACUUUGUGGACCACAGUUGCCUGAACAAUCACAGCAAGCCUGCUGGUUUUCUUCAGAGGCUUCAGUCCUUGUCCUGGACCGCCGGUCCCUCCAAUAUUCCAACAGUCGGGGAGUUUAUUUAGCAUCUAUUUUACAUUCCACCUGUGUAUAUAAGUGUGUAUAUGUGUUUGUUUGGAUGUAUAUGUGUUUGUGUGAACUGUGUACAUGUUGACAUGAUUGUAUGUGAAGAUUUUUGGAGCCAACAGUUACGUUUGUAACCUUUGAGUAUCUAUGUGGACAAGCCCCGCCCCUUUAUACUAACAUUUAUGAGUAACUAGAAAAGUUGCAUCACCUGUGAUAUUGUAAUGCUUUGUGUUAAAAGUAGUCGCUGAAAAUUCUGAUUUUUGUUAGUGAAGGAAUUUACUUUGAUUGCUGAAAAUGCAAAAGCUAUGUACAAAAUGUUAAAUUUGAUAAAAGAUUGGGAAUUUUGUUAAAAAA